ensembl:lncRNA
CAGCACACAGCAGUGUAUUAUAACAGUGAUAAUAGCAGCACAUAGCAGUAUAACACAGCACAUAGCAGUGUAUUAUAACAGUGAUAAUAGCAGCACACAGCAGUGUAUUAUAACAGUGAUAAUAGCAGCACAUAGCAGUGUAUUAUAACAGUGAUAAUAGCAGCACAUAGCAGUGUAUUAUAACACAUAGCAGUGUAUUAUAACAGUGAUAAUAGCAGCACAUAGCAGUGUAUUAUAACAGUGAUAAUAGCAGCACAUAGCAGUGUAUUAUAACAGUGAUAAUAGCAGCACACAGCAGUGUAUUAUAACAGUGAUAAUAGCAGCACAUAGCAGUGUAUUAUAACAGUGAUAAUAGCAGCACACAGCAGUGUAUUAUAACAGUGAUAAUAGCAGCACAUAGCAGUGUAUUAUAACAGUGAUAAUAGCAGCACAUAGCAGUGUAUUAUAACAGUGAUAAUAGCAGCACAUAGCAGUGUAUUAUAACAGUGAUAAUAGCAGCACACAGCAGUGUAUUAUAACAGUGAUAAUAGCAGCACAUAGCAGUGUAUUAUAACAGUGAUAAUAGCAGCACAUAGCAGUGUAUCAUAACAGUGAUAAUAGCAGCACAUAGCAGUGUAUUAUAACAGUGAUAAUAGCAGCACAUAGCAGUGUAUUAUAACACAUAGCAGUGUAUUAUAACAGUGAUAAUAGCAGCACAUAGCAGUGUAUCAUAACAGUGAUAAUAGCAGCACAUAGCAGUGUAUUAUAACACAUAGCAGUGUAUUAUAACAGUGAUAAUAGCAGCACAUAGCAGUGUAUUAUAACAGUGAUAAUAGCAGCACACAGCAGUGUAUUAUAACAGUGAUAAUAGCAGCACAUACAAAAACAGGACUCGCCUAUCAUAUGUUCUUUGUGAAGUUCAUUGAAAUAGAUAAGUUUUAUACUUCGCUGAGUUUUGUUUGAAGAUCUUGUUGGACUAUUGGAAGAGCAUCAGUCAGUAGAUUAUGUUGGAAGUUUUCAUGUGUAAUCGGCGCUUCUUCUGAGUCAGAGGUUCCGCAGAGCUUCUGCUGUACUGUAAGCGCUAGUGUGCAUGUUGAAGGGUUGUGCUGAUUGAAGAUAGAUUUUCCACUCCAUUUCAGUGUUUUACUGAGACUGCACAUUUCAUCACAUGCGUUUCUGUAUGCCGUAAGGGCCUCUUUAUCACUUCUAUGAGCACUGAAGUGCAGUCAAGGUCAGGACGUUUCAGCGAGGUUGCUCUAAAUGAAGCCGAAAGAGUUGCAACCAGUUUCCUAAUGCUCGUCCUCUAUUUUCCCCCUCAUGUAGUGCUCAGUUUGUGUCUGACUGAGAGAGAGAGAGAGAGAGAGACAGAGUUUUAUACGAUCGAUUGUAAAUAGUGUUGCUGUGUCCCGGCCACGUUGCCAUGGCUCUUAAUUAGAUUACUGAAUACGAGCUUCUUGGUGACGGUUUGAGCAAAAGCAAGUCGAUACAUUAACACAGCCUGCCAUGUCCCAUCACACCGUCCUUUACUAACGCACGCCCCGGCUGAGCAGAGGCCAGAGAGAUGGACCCUGAAAUCAGCACGACAGAAUGAAGAGGAGAGAGAGACAGAGGGUGGGAGAGAGAGGGAGAGAUAGAGAGAGGGAGGGAGAGAGAGAGAGAGA